rnacentral:lncRNA from 1 species
AAAAAAAUACUCAUACAUUUAGGAGAGAACCAGAAGUUUUUAAUUCUCUAUUAUGAUUUGCUGUGAACUUCCUAAUGUGUGUUUUUUCUUGUACUGUCCACUUUAUACCCUUCAAAACUAAUUGAUGUGUUUCCUGUUUCUGUAGGUUGUGUAUUAAACGAGGAUAAUUUCUCAAUGAAAUGCAGAAAGCACAAGAACAAGUCCAUUAAAGCAUCAUCAAAUCGUCAAAUCAGCAGGUGACAGGAGAAAGAGGACGCUAUGCGAGAGUGCGGCUGAUCUCUAACUCCAGUGUUUCUGUGCACGCCGACCACAGGACCUUCAGACAACACCCAAACACCUUAAUAAUUGUGCUGCUGCACUGCUCAUA